UCCGGGGCGCUCCCAAUCCCCUCGCACGUUGUCCUCCCCAAUCCCCUCGUCUCUCUCCUCUCUCCCACCCGCUCCGCCGCCAUCCACCCCUGGUCGAGCUCGCAGCGCCGCGACGCCGGGAGGAAGCCCAGGACGCCGCUGGAGGAAGCCAAGGCCGCCGCUCGCAACAUCCCCUCGCGCCAUCACGAUGAGAGGAAGCGCAGCCCGACGGGGGUGGCCGUGGCUAGCACCAACGGCGAGGCGCCAUACACCCGCGGAGGCAUCCCCAUCCGGCCACGAUGGGAUGGCCGCUUACAAGCUAGAGUCGGCGGUCAGACGCGGGGACGGCGGCUGCAGUGGCCGGUCAGCGCGGGGACGACGGACCUCAGCGACCGUCGGCCGCAUCCCUUGCUACCGCCGCCGGAGGGAUGGAGAUGAAGGCGACCUGCCGAGGUACGCCGCCGAUUCGUGUCCAUAUCUCGAUGGGUUGUGCUGGACCGCUGGCCUCCUCUGCCUCUUUGGCGUCACCGAUGACGCAGGGGCCUGCCCUCCUCUGCCUCUUCUUUGAAGGGGACCUGCAGCCACCGGAGGGCAUCACGGAUCUGUGAAGAAAGAUUUGGUGCAGGUCAGCAUCGGAUUGUUUGGUUGGAAUUUUCAGGGGCUGUUUUGAGCUAUGAGAUGUGAUUACUUCAACCCUUUGCACUCUUGUUUUAUUGUACUUCAAUACCUGGAAUAACUAAAUUAUUGUUGCUGCCUCUUGCCUAAUGUUAUGCGCCUGAGGUUCCGGGGCUGGAUCUCAACUGCUAGGCCUCAAAUGUAAAUAUAUUUGUGCUUCUCUAUAUUACUAAUCAAUGAAACCAGUAGAGGAUUCGAUUUAUGGUUGGUGCGUACUUGAGAGUAUUUGCUUCUUCGCGAUCGAUAAAGCACGAGUCUGAGACGACGAAGAUCAACAACAGUGAUGAUCAAUUUCUGUCCUCCGACGAACAAGUCAAGUACAAGAUUAUCGAAGAUCCAUAUUGGUUUAUCAGGGACAAAGGCAAGCCCUAGCCUGGUUCAUCUAAGUUUUACAAAUGCUUUCAUUCUGGUUAAUUCAUAUUGCAUGCGAUUCAACUGUCUUUUAUCGAUAGGUAGAGUUAUCCUAUCUAUUGCAUGUUUCACUGUUGUAGCCUCAAAUACCCUGAUCCACUGCUCCUAGCAUAACUAGGCUUGGCAUGUGUGCGUCGCUAGAGCCUUAUAUCUUUAUGCUUAGCCAUGCUUAGUUUGUUACGCUACUACUCCGGUCUUCGGACUGGAGCCAUACAAUGAAAUGAAUCUAGCAUGACAGGUUGACGUGGUAAGUACAGAGAUGACGAUGAUAAACAUGAUUAAAGGCUCAGACGAGAGGCCACAUUGGGAUGUGGUGGGUUGUUUCGUUUCUGCCGACCCUAGGAACUGAGUUCUCGCCUCUUGAACCAAGACUGAGCGUACAACCACACGAGGCCCUAUUAUGGUACCCUCUCGACUCACUAACUUGCCUAGUAGAUUCCAUGAGUCACAUAGUUUGCGCUUUACCUGGACAUAUGCAUUGCAUUUUGCUUGGGGGAUAAGGUACAUAACAGGUAGGUAAGCGUGGCCGUGGUGGCUGGGGGUUGCGGCCCCUGGGGAAACCCACCUCACCUCACAUCGUUAAGGACCGACUUCGGGACUUGACCCGUUACGGCGGAGCAAUCCUUAGCGCGUGACUCAUGGUCUCGGCGACAGCAAGGUAAAGGUCGUGGUCAACCACUCUCUGCCGGCUUUCCAAGGAAGAGAGCUAAUGUCUGGCACUAAGAAUCGGUUGGCACGUGUGGGUAAAGUUGUGCACCCCUGCAGGGUUAAAUCUUUUCGAAAAGCCGUGUCCACGGUUACGCACGACUUGGGAAUGGAUUCUGUGAUCAUAGACAACUUGAACCUGAUCGUAAAACUUGGCAACCAAUGUGUGUUUACGGAUACCUUCUUCGGGUGUUGAGGGGGUGAUCCGAGGAUAGUGGUUCGAGAUGAUGAAGAUUGGUGGAUACAAUAUGAUGAUCAAUAGAGAUAGAGAUGUCGCUCUCUUAUCCCCUUUCAAAGGUUCUGUGUAGUCGAGCUUCUCUUCUCUCUUAUCUUACAAAGGAAAACUGGCUUUACGCAAAAGAAGAUCUACCAGAAAGCCCGCAUACCCGCUUUGCUAAAAGGUUGUACUAAGUCUUGCUGAGUCCCUGUACUCAGCUUUGCAUGCUUUUGUUUCAGACGAAGUCGCUCCAACAGAUGGUGGUUUCUAGUCGACAUCGACGAGUAGCUUGGGGUUCCCAGGUGGCAGCCUGGAAUCUAUGGGCUGGGACGUCGCCGUUAUGCUCCUGGCCUCUUAGGCCUUUUGCUAUCUUGCUAUGUCUAAUAGCAUAACUUCGCUUCCGUUGAUUGAUGUAUGUCAGGUCAGUGACCUCUGCUUGUAAUACUUUGGUUCUUCACUCAGUUAUGAGCUUGUAUUACUUUUUGAGUCGUAGAGUCACUGUUGUGUUACCGAUUCUCUCACUGUAGUCUCUCGAGCUCUAGGUUAGGCUUAUGUCAGACGAAGAUCUGGUAUUUGUCUAACCCUGAUCCCGGGGGUGCCACAAUUUUCUACUGAUCAGGGAUUUUAGGCUGUCAUGUAUGUGUGACUGUAUUAGGCUUUAAGCUGCAGUCUGGUGAGCUUUUGUGCCUUUUCUUUUGUCUCAAUUUAGUAACAACUGACUACAUCAAUAAGUCAUCCACUUGAUCAUUGUGUUGAUUACAAUAUCAUUAUUAUUUGUUUGCACUUCUUACUGCUAUUGGCUGUCGUUAUUUUUGUAGUCGUCGAAGGUUGUUUCUAUUUUUUCUGCUUUUGUGUUAUGACCUUGACUUAUUCUGGAAACUUCUGAUUUGCAUUUGAUAUUUUGAGACAACUUUUUUCUAAAAUUAUGAUGUUCUGGAUUUCAAGAAGAAAAACAAAUGGUGCUUGCCUUUUCCUAGCAAAGCUUGGUUGGAUUUUUGUUCUCUGCUUGUCAACAUAAUAUAUUGGUCCAGUCUUCUAAUAAUCGGUUAAUAGCCUCCUCAAUCGACUAUGUAAAUCAGUGCUUUAAGGUUGUGAAUUAUGUGUUACUGCAUUUUUUCAGAAAGGGACACAUGAACAGGUCAGAGGCUCUGAAUUUUGAUUUUAGCAUGUUUUCUGCAGUAUGUACAAAUCACGUCCUUUAAAAUCCAAGCACAUGGGAGUAUUGAUCUCUGUAAUUGGGGUCUUCUUUUGGAAUUUAUCCAGUAAAUGAUAGCAUGGUGUCUGGUUGAUUCCAGGGCUCUUUGCAUACGCAGUCAGCUAGCCCCUAAAAAAGUUUUUGCAGUCUCAGAUCCUAAUAAUUCCUAUGCUUUGGUCCUUCAUUGCAACAUUGCUCUUGCACAUUCUUUUUUGUUGGUUAUUGGUUUUCAAGAUCAGUCUGGGGUAUUUUGGAGCCGCUUUGGCAAUAAGCGUAUAGUACUGGUUGAACGCCUUCAGUGGAGUCGCUGUGUUCAUGCGCCUAGCUCUGCCAUCUGCUCUAAUGAUAUGUUUUGAAUGGUGGUCAUUUGAGGCCAUUAUUCUUUGCCGGGACUUCUACCCAAUCCAGAGCUGCAAACUUCAGUUCUUUCGACCUGCAUGACAACUAUCACACUGAUGUAUACUAUAGCAUAUGGGAAUGGUGCUGGUGCAAGGUAAGCAGAAGCUUGAUAUACGUGGAUAUGAUACAGUUUUUUCGGAUGAAAUUAUUAUUUGAUAACACCAUUUUGUAUUUUCUUUAAUGGGAAGCACUGGAGUAUCAAACUAACUAGGGGCCGGGAAUCCUUAAGGUGAUCGAUUGUAUGUCCGUGUUGUGAUGUUUAUUGUUGUGACUUAGGCAGUUCUCAUCACUAGGGCUCUAUUAGCAUCCAAGCGCAUCUUGUGCUAUGCAUAUAGCAGAAAAAGGAGGUAGUUGAGUAUGUUUAUGGAAUGUUUCCCUUAAUCUGCAUCUCAUUCGCUGCUGAUUGCCUACAAGGAGUUCUCUCAGGUUAAAAAUUUCUACCUUCUAAUUUAUCUAUCAAUUUUACCUUCCCUUCGAAAGAUUUUGGGAAGGUAAAAUUGAUAGAGGUAAAAUGGAUUGUGCUGCUGGGACUAUGCCACACAUAAACGAUACACUUGCUAGCACUGGGAUGCGAUUUCUACUUCUGAAUAAUUUUGUCUGGUCGAUUAGCCUUUAGGUUAUCUUUGAUGAAAUUCAUCACUAUGAUUUUCCAAGCUAAUACUAACAUAGAUUGCAUGCUGCACUUAGGAUUUGACUUCCUACAUCUUCAUUUUCCAUGGAUUACAUAAAGCGGCAUUUUUUGAAUGCAUCGUCAAGGCAAAUUUCUGAGAUAUAUGCGUAAUAUAUUUGUUGGGCUAACCUAUUAAAUAGAGAAUCUAUAAUCCUAAAAAGGGUGUAACAUAUUUGUUGAGUCAACAUAUAUAUUGUGUGUUUUUAUCAGCUUAUUAUCGAGUAUAUUACAAAACGAUCAUUAGUGCGAAAUACCGGGGCUGCGCACAUCCAGCAUGUAUCCAUCCUAUAUCUGCUUUCCACGUCAUUUCUUCUGCAACAGUCAAGAUAGGUACAUUCUAACUGUUUACUACUAUCUGGUAUUAUACGACUUGUACUGCAAAGUAUUUUAGAUUAGUCUUCUACCUGAAGAAAAAUGAAAUCUGCCAUGAAAAUUUGUAUGACUAAUUUGUUUAUAGCAGCAAGGCAACAACCCGUUGGCUACCAUUAGUUUUAGAGAAUUCAAAUUCUAGGAGAUGAGGCUGAGAUACUACCUCUGGCCCUUUAAAUUGGUUGUCGCAUGUGAAAAGCUUGACAUAUUUUUUAACUGCCCCAUGUUAUUAUUGUGUGGUAGGUAGCUGCAUAUUGUUUUGCACAUAUGCAGAACCCCAAAUUAACUGAUUUCCCUAUAGCUUCAAAAUGUUAAUAGGUGAACAAAUAUAUAUAUAAUUCAAAUACCUACAACCAGCUUCUAUUUUGUGCUCCUUCAAAAUGAAAUGCCAAAAUAAGAGGGUUUCUUCCAAUUUUGACUGAUUGAUCCAUACAUCGUUUUACUUGUCAUGAGCUUGCAAGAGUAACAAUUAAUAUUGAAGCUUCUACAUAUUCCUUAAACUGCAAAUACUCGUGCAUUUUGAGCGCAAGAAGAUUUAACCAUAUUUUAACAUUUUUAUUCAUGUUUCGAGGUUCUGUGCUAAUAAGGAUGAGGUAACAUCGGACAUGUAUUUUAGUUAUCAAGGAGAAAGAUGGAAAUUGUUGUGUGUUUAGUUUUCAAGGAGAAAAGUGAGGCAUGAAUUUUAGUUUUUUAAACGGAAGCACAAUAUUUCUCUUUUGAUAUUUCUCUCUUAUUUUUGCAUGUGCUGCUGCAUGCUUAUGUCUCUUCUAGUUUGGAUGGUCAAAUAUGAGUGCUAGGAAUUAUUUAGCCAGAUCUAGAUUUUAGCGUGCUCCAUCGUUCUGAAUUAUUUACUGUCAUGCACAUGCGUUGACAGAAGAGCAAAUGAUUUUGUACAUGAAAAAGAAUUAAAUCCUACUCACAAAAAUGAUGCAGGAAAACAAUACCAGCGGAGGAGAUCCUAACAGUUGGGAAGCACUGUGGAAGAAGGGCAUGAAAAUGAAGGCAAUGAGCUGCUGGAUACAAUCGCGCCAGACCUGGUUUUCAUCAUCAAUGAUAAGUCUCACCUGGUGUUCACCCGGUAUGGAAACAACUUGGUGGCUAGGAUAAUAUACCCCUCACGAUGUCCUGACAGGCACCUGGUGAUGCUGGCCAGAUGUAGCAUGACUGGGUCUAUCUGCUCCAUGAUCCACCCAUGGUUGGGGAGGAAUUACAGCUAGGCCAUAGAAGACAAAAACUUGAGCAAAAAACUGUGUUUUCUGAUCAACAUGUGUGGGUAAAUUAUUGUCACGUGACCAACUUGGAUGUUAAUUAUUCUUAUUUUUUGCAUACGGUAAGUCUAUUUUCUCUUGCUAUGUGCUAUUGUUCAAUUAUGCCGAUAUGCGCGCGCGUGUAGUCACCAUUAUUGUGGGAAAUUUUUCAGUUCCUUUAUUCAGAGCCAUUGCUUCAUGUGGUUUACGAAUUCUUUGAAACAAUGUAGCAUUCUUCCUUUUCCUUCUGUGUACUUUUAUUAUCAUUUGCUUGAGCUACGAUUUUGGAUGAUCGGUGAUAUUAAGUAAUUGUCUCAUCACGAGUCAGUUUACGGUUUGAUCUUAUUAGAAACUUCUUGCAUUCACUUGCCAUGUAUUUUGUGGGCGACGGCACAUGAGGAGAUUGGUUGGGUGGCGUGAAUGGAGAUACAGGUUAUGGAUUAUUUUAGUUAGUGUUAGAAAUUAUUUAUCCAGCUCUACAUUUUUGUGUGCUCCUUCACUAUGAAUUAUUUACUAUCAUGCACAAGUGUUGACAGAAGAAGAUCAAAUUAUUUUGCACAAGGAACAAAAUACACAAUCACAACUACUCUCAAUUUCACUAUCGAUCUACUCUAUGAUGUGCUGCCAGAUGGCUCGAUUCUGCCUCACGUGUCACGGAAGGCUUCGUUGCUCCUCGCCGAAAGGUUGUCAGGUCAGCUUCUAUUUCCCUGUAGAUUGUUGGCCGUAUUGGUACCAGGUAGAGAUUUAUACCUUGAGCUUUUUCUCAGGCUUAGGUUCUGCUUAGGCACAACGUAAAUAUACUGUACAUAUCGAUAGGCUAUUGAGGAAAUGUACCUAAGCUGAAUUAGUUCUGUAGGGACUUCACUCUAUUGAUUGGCUACCCCAAAAAAAUUUACAGUACCCCUGUUGAGUAUCAUUUUCAAUAGAUUGUUGUCGAGGCUCAGUGUGUGCCCUCGAGCACAUGUAGCAAGAAUAGCUAGGGUGCUUUUUGUCCUUCGAGCAUAGUUAGUAUACGUCAUCCUCAAGUAAGACCUCGGGUGCUUUCCUUCUGACUGUUGGAUGGCAUCACCUAUUUAUUUAUUGAUAUCAUUUUGAGAACAUAUACUUAUCGAUUUCUUGGUCUCUGUACGACACAAAAUCUAUGUCCUUUAUCAAACUCAUACAAAACUAAUUAUAUAUUUUCUAAUAAUAGAUCAGCUAAUCCGUAUCUAAAACUACCUACAUUUUUUAUUUAUUCACCUAUCGAGGCAACUCUUGAGGAUUGGGUUUCUUCUUAUGCUAUAUCCAAGUGCAAAUAAUACUCCUGCUUUACAAAUACUUUCAUCUGAUUACAACAUACAUUAGUAUAACAUUCCCUUUGUUCUUCAACAUUUUUUUAUUCUGUGGUGUUCUUAAUGUUGCUCUAAUUACAACAUUUAUUUGCUUUGUUGCGGCCUAAUGGAGGCUGCAGAGCUCGAGACUGUCAGGAUCCGGCCUGGUGUCAUGCUGGAAGCUAUGUUGCAGAAGCUACACCUUUUGGCGGUGCAACUACCUAUUAGAAUUUGGUUUUCUUGUUUUUGUGGGUAGUGGGCUUCAAAGACUGAAUUGCGGCGAGCUUAUUUAGAUGUUACUUUUGUUAUUUUUAGCUUUACUUCUAUUUGUCUCCAAAAAACUAUAAGUGUUAAUAUAUUUCGCUAUUUCCCUCAUUGUGUAUAUGCAUUGUUGUUCCAUUCUAA